UAGCCUAGUGGUUAAGGCUAUGGAUCGGCAAUCCGGAGACAGCGGGUUCGAUUCCCGU
rfam:Aedes albopictus isolate Foshan contig31027, whole genome shotgun sequence.